rnacentral:ncRNA from 1 species
GGCUGAGAGCUGAUGGGCACUCCACGUGGUGGAGUGAUCUGGUGAUCCUAUGCUGCCAAGAAAAGCAUCGACGUGAGGUUUGAUCCGCCCGUACCCAUAACCGACACAGGUAGUCAGGUAGAGAAUACUAAGGCGAGCGAGAUAAUCGUAGUUAAGGAACUCGGCAAAUUGCCCCCGUAACUUCGGAAGAAGGGGGACCAUCCUGGUAUGAGCCUUUUUGCGGUGAAAGCUGGUGGUGGUCGCAGAGACCAGAGAGAAGCGACUGUUUACUAAAAACACAGGUCCGUGCGAAGACGUAAGUCGAUGUAUACGGACUGACGCCUGCCCGGUGCUGGAAGGUUAAGAGGACCCGUUAACCCUUGGGUGAAGCGGAGAAUUUAAGCCCCAGUAAACGGCGGUGGUAACUAUAACCAUCCUAAGGUAGCGAAAUUCCUUGUCGGGUAAGUUCCGACCUGCACGAAUGGCGUAACGACUUCUCUGCUGUCUCUACUACGAACUCGGCGAAAUUGCAUUACGAGUAAAGAUGCUCGUUACGCGCAGCAGGACGGAAAGACCCCGAGACCUUUACUACAGUUUGGUAUUGGUGUUCGGUGUGGCUUGUGUAGGAUAGGUGGGAGACUGUGAAGCAUGCACGCCAGUGUGUGUGGAGUCAUUGGUGAAAUACCACUCUGGCCAUUCUGGAUUCCUUAACUUCGGACCCUGAUCGGGUUCAGGGACAGUGCCUGAUGGGUAGUUUAACUGGGGCGGUUGCCUCCCAAAGAGUAACGGAGGCGCCCAAAGGUUCCCUCAGCCUGGUUGGCAAUCAGGUUUUGAGUGUAAGUGCACAAGGGAGCUUGACUGUGAGACGGACGUGUCGAGCAGGAGCGAAAGCUGGGACUAGUGACCCGGCCGUGGAUUGUGGAAUCGCGGUCGCUCAACGGAUAAAAGGUACCUCGGGGAUAACAGGCUGAUCUUGCCCAAGAGUCCAUAUCGACGGCAUGGUUUGGCACCUCGAUGUCGGCUCGUCGCAUCCUGGGGCUGGAGUCGGUCCCAAGGGUUGGGCUGUUCGCCCAUUAAAGCGGUACGCGAGCUGGGUUUAGAACGUCGUGAGACAGUUCGGUCCCUAUCCGCUGCGUGCGUAGGAAAUUUGAGAAGGGCUGUCCUUAGUACGAGAGGACCGGGACGGACGAACCUCUGGUGUGCCAGUUGUACCGCCAGGUGCAUGGCUGGUUGGCUACGUUCGGGAAGGAUAACCGCUGAAAGCAUCUAAGCGGGAAGCCUGCUUCAAGAUGAGAUUUCCAUGAGGUGCCCUACAGACUAUAGGGUUGAUAGGCCAGAUGUGGAAGCACAGUAAUGUGUGUAGCUGACUGGUACUAAUACACCGAUCACUCACACAC